CCUACGGGAGGCUGCAGUGGGGAAUAUUGGACAAUGGGGGGAACCCUGAUCCAGCCAUGCCGCGUGUGUGAAGAAGGCCCUCGGGUUGUAAAGCACUUUCUGUGAGGAAGAACGCCUGGUGGUUAAUACCCAUCAGGAAAGACAUCACUCACAGAAGAAGCACCGGCUAACUCCGUGCCAGCAGCCGCGGUAAUACGGAGGGUGCGAGCGUUAAUCGGAAUUACUGGGCGUAAAGCGCGCGUAGGUGGCUUGAUAAGCCGGUUGUGAAAGCCCCGGGCUCAACCUGGGAACGGCAUCCGGAACUGUCAAGCUAGAGUGCAGGAGAGGAAGGUAGAAUUCCCGGUGUAGCGGUGAAAUGCGUAGAGAUCGGGAGGAAUACCAGUGGCGAAGGCGGCCUUCUGGACUGACACUGACACUGAGGUGCGAAAGCGUGGGUAGCAAACAGGAUUAGAUACCCCAGUAGUC
rnacentral:rRNA from 1 species